CCUACGGGAGGCAGCAGUGGGGAAUUUUGGACAAUGGGCGCAAGCCUGAUCCAGCAAUGCCGCGUGAGUGAAGAAGGCCUUCGGGUUGUAAAGCUCUUUUGUCAGGGAAGAAACGGUGGGGGCUAAUAUCUCCUACUAAUGACGGUACCUGAAGAAUAAGCACCGGCUAACUACGUGCCAGCAGCCGCGGUAAUACGUAGGGUGCAAGCGUUAAUCGGAAUUACUGGGCGUAAAGCGUGCGCAGGCGGUUUUGUAAGUCUGUCGUGAAAGCCCCGGGCUCAACCUGGGAAUUGCGAUGGAGACUGCAAGGCUUGAAUCUGGCAGAGGGGGGUAGAAUUCCACGUGUAGCAGUGAAAUGCGUAGAGAUGUGGAGGAACACCGAUGGCGAAGGCAGCCCCCUGGGUCAAGAUUGACGCUCAUGCACGAAAGCGUGGGGAGCAAACAGGAUUAGAUACCCUGGUAGUCCACGCCCUAAACGAUGUCUACUAGUUGUCGGGUUUUAAUUAACUUGGUAACGCAGCUAACGCGUGAAGUAGACCGCCUGGGGAGUACGGUCGCAAGAUUAAAACUCAAAUGAAUUGACCGGNUGAGAGNGCGACGACGACGACGAGGAGGAGG
rnacentral:rRNA from 1 species